rnacentral:lncRNA from 1 species
GGAAAAACAGAUCUCGUUGUUGAGCAAAAGACGGCGAUUACAGGAAGAGGCAAAGAUCGCGGCGAGAAGAGGUCGUCAAGCGAACAUCUGUGUCGCGGUGAUGACCGCCGGUGAUCAGAGGAACAGGUGGGUCGGUUCUCGAUCUCAGCGAGAGGAAUUGAAGAGUUGAAUGAUUUUUGGAACCAAAGGUAUAUAAUAUGAAUCUAUGAUCUUGCCUUUGCUUUAGCCUGGCUUCUAAACCGGUAUCAACCGUUAGGGUGUACUGUACCGUUAACCGGAUUUAAUCGAUUACUUAAAACAACGCGAAGAUUAUAGUUGCUGGAAGCUGAAUAAGCUUCAAAGCCUGGAUCUUUCUUCCAACAAGUUCGUCGGAUCAAUCCCAAGAUUCCUUUUCUCGCUUCCUUCGCUACAGAAUCUAACUUUGGCACAGAACUUGUUCAGUGGAUCACUUCCAAACUCAUCUCUAUGCAGCUCCAAGCUUAGACUUUUAGAUGUUUCCAGGAAUCUUCUAACUGGAAAGCUUCCAUCUUGCUUGUCUUCCAAGACUUACCAUAAUCAAACAGUGGUCUACACAUUCAACUGCUUGUCUGUCAAUGGCUCCCCCUCUGCAAAGUAUCAGCGUCCUGUUUCCUUCUGCGAAAACGAAGCAAAGCAAGCGGUUUCUGCUGUGAAGUCUGACACUAAGGAUCACCAAAAGAAAGAAGAAGAAGAUAAAGGAAUAGAACUUGGAUUAGUGAUUGGCAUUAUCAUAGGUGUGGUCCUCGUUUCAGCGGUUUUGGCUGGUUUAGUUAUGGUUAGGAUGAGAAAGUCAAAAUCAAAAGAAGUACCUUUAGAAGCAAGCAACGUCGACAAGGUCUCCGUUUGUAGCACAGCCACAAGGUCCACUACAUCAAAGACAGUACCAGAUCCAAGUAAAUAAUAAAGGCUUUUACAGUAAAUUCUUGAAUCAAAAUUUUCACAACCCAUUUAACCUAAGUAUAAUUUCAAAUGCAGGACGUGUACCACAAACAAUGAGAUCUGCUGUGAUUGGACUAUCACCAUACCGUGUUUUCUCCCUGGAGGAGCUGGAAGAAGCCACCAACAAUUUUGAUGCAGCAAGUCUCUGUGGAGAACAGGUAAAAUGAAAAAGCCAACAAAACAUGAUCAUAACUCCAUUUGAGUCUCUAAUUAUGUAAUUUAAAAACAGCUGUACAAAGGUUGUCUUAGAGAAGGGAUAGCAGUGACGGUGAGGUGUAUUAAGCUGAAACAGAAGAGUUCAACAUCAACGCAGAACUUGGCUCAACAAAUGGAAGUUUUAUCAAAGCUGAGGCAUAUGCAUUUGGCCAGUGUUCUUGGACACUGCAUUGGUACUUACCAAGACCAUCAUCCAUACGCCGGGAGCACCAUUUUCAUAGUCCAAGAAUACAUCUCUAACGGGUCUUUGAGGGACUACCUCACUGGUACACCUGAAAAAACAUUUUGGAUUUCAAAAGUUUUCGAUUUAGGAAGCUAAUUUUAAUUUAUUUUUUUGGCAGAUUGGAGAAAUAAAGAGGUGUUGAAAUGGCCUCAGAGGAUGUCAAUAGCCAUUGGAGUAGCUAGAGGGAUACAGUUUUUGCACACAGGAGUGGCACCAGGAAUCUUUGGGAACAAUUUGGAGAUAGAGAAUGUUCUGCUUGAUGAAACACUCACUGUUAAACUUAGUGGCUAUACUAUUCCUUUACCAUCCAAGGUAUAAACUAAGCAGAGAUAACAAGACUUAGCUUCUUAUUUCUAAUUCAUAUCUUUUGGGGAGGGAAUCUUGCAGGUUGGAGCAGAAAGCACUAGCAAUGAAGAUGGAGAGAAGGAAGAUGUGUACCAGUUUGGAGUGAUCCUACUUCAGAUCAUCACGGGGAAAGUAAUGGCGGCUGCAUCUUCAGAGUUGGGAAGCUUGAAGCUUCAGCUGGAGAAUGGUUUGAGAGAGGAACCAUCGGUGUUGCGUAGCUUAGCAGAUCCGAGUGUGAGAGGAACUUAUGCGUAUGAGUCACUGAGGACCACAGUCGAGUUUGCCAUUAACUGUCUUUGUGAAGAUCAGAGGAAGCGGCCAUCAAUAGAGGAUGUUGUAUGGAACCUGCAGUACACAAUUCAGGUGCAGCAAGGAUGGACAAGCAGUGGGAACCUUGGGGUUGGUGAUACAUAGAUGCAAGGAGGAAUAUGUCUUCAUCAUCCCUGAUUGAUAUAGAGAAACAGCUUGAUGACAAAUUCAAAACCCAUAUAGGAAGAUGAAUGUAAACCUCAGAAAAAGAGAGGCAGAGCUGCAAAAGCUAUAUAUGUCAGUUGAGUGUUCAGAACAGAAGCAUUGAGUUUGUAACAAACCAAACAUAAUAAAUAAUACAUUAUGUUGGAACUUCUAAUACUUCUGGUACUUAGUCUUAUGUCAGGACUCAGAUUUUGGUGGAGACAUUAUAUUAGAAAUGUAACUGAAAAGGCAUGGAUGGGUGAUAGAGGGAAAAGGACAAACACUCUUUAAUAUUUCAUAUCACAACUUUUUUAUCAUUUUGGUACCUAGCAAGAAACCCAUAAUACAUAUAUACAAACAAAAAAAGAACAAUUCAGAAGGUUUGGUACAAAGUUUUUACAAGGACGUUAGGCUUCGUAGAACCCAUCAAAGCAUUCAGUAGAGUUUUGAAACACGCACAAAAGACAUGAACGAGAAGAUAAGAAAGCCGUUGCUUUAAUGGUGACAUUGAGUAAUUGAGAGUAGGAGAGAGUUGCAGAGCUUACAACUAACUAAUACUAAUCAGCAGUCCAGCUUUGCUCGACAACAUCACGCACUUUUCUGUUGUACUCACGCUUGUUUUCGCUGUACAUCCGAGCAGCUUCCGAAUUUGCAGGAGAAUUCGGAUUAGGGUCACAGAGUAAUGACUGUAAUUAAAAAGAGGAAAAUGGAUCAGAGAAGAGCAGAGUAAUCACACGCAUUUCAAUAUUAUUACCUGGAUGGAGGUAAGUAUAGCAGCAACAUCAUAUAUUGGACUCCACUGGUUUUGUAGAAUGUCCAAGCAAAUACUCCCAUCUGCAUAAACUGCAAAGAAGGUAGAGAAGAAGAAGAAAGUUAAUGUGAGCCAAAAAAGCUAAACAUUAACCGAGAGUGGAAGAAAAGAGAAGGCUGCAUCUCUAUAAGCUUACUAUUUGGAUGGAACAUCCGUGACACAAAGCGAACUGUCGGUGGUUUAUUUGGAUAAUCCUCAGAUAACUGCAGUGAGAGUUUGAAAGUACCUGCCAGGAAGAUCAAGCCAGAGCCAAUAAGAAAACUACUAUAAUAACUGAUCCCAAAACAGGUGAUCCUAGCCAAAUUACAACAACAUAACCUUACCUCCAUCCCAUGGGGUGUCAUCAGGCCUGAAAAUCCACAAAACAAGAUCCAAGUAAGUAUAGAAAGUUAGAAACAACCAAAUCAUUAGAAACUAAGCUAGUAUCUGCGGUACUUGGUUCGUUACCCGAAUAUGACAGCAUUCCAGAGCAUGAUAUUGUUGUCGUGUGGAGCACCGCUGAUACCCGCAGGUGGGUCUUGCUGCAACCUCCUGAAAUCCCUCAUCAACCUCUUCCUUGCUGGAGUCGACAUCCUCCUUUACUCUACAAAACAAAAGCCCAUAACUUCCAUCAUUCUAACGUCUGAACACCUCUGUGAAUCUCGAAACAUCUACUGAAUAUGUUAAUAUAAAACUGAUUCUCAAUGGUUUGGGUAUGCUAACCAAUAUGUAACAGAGUCUAAUCAACAUAUAGCAGCUAGAUUAGCUUAGAAGCAACAUCAAAACUAAGACUUGAACCUAGAAACACAGCCUAAGGUCGCAUCAAUUCUAUAAACAAGAAACCAAUUACCAAAAACAAAUAAUUUAACCUAGAAACAGUUUAAAGUCGCACCAAUUCACCAAAAAUAGCUAUAAUCAUGACAAGAAACAGCUCAGAAGAAAGUAAAAUUCACGGAUCCGGCAAAAGAGACAUAGAGGAGAGAUGAAAAGGGUACCGUGGAAAAACAGAUCUCGUUGUUGAGCAAAAGACGGCGAUUACAGGAAGAGGCAAAGAUCGCGGCGAGAAGAGGUCGUCAAGCGAACAUCUGUGUCGCGGUGAUGACCGCCGGUGAUCAGAGGAACAGGUGGGUCGGUUCUCGAUCUCAGCGAGAGGAAUUGAAGAGUUGAAUGAUUUUUGGAACCAAAGGUAUAUAAUAUGAAUCUAUGAUCUUGCCUUUGCUUUAGCCUGGCUUCUAAACCGGUAUCAACCGUUAGGGUGUACUGUACCGUUAACCGGAUUUAAUCGAUUACUUAAAACAACGCGAAGAUUAUAGUUGCUGAAAAAAAUAAACAAUUGAGAAUCUACCCUUCAACCCUCUUCUCAAAUCCUGAGGGCUUUUGGAUCAUACUAGCUCGUACUCUCUCAACUCAAAUCAUUUUGAGAGUUGCU